rnacentral:rRNA from 1 species
GAUGAACGCUGGCGGCGUGCCUAAUACAUGCAAGUCGAGCGAACGGACGAGAAGCUUGCUUUUCUGAUGUUAGCGGCGGACGGGUGAGUAACACGUGGAUAACCUACCUAUAAGACUGGGAUAACUUCGGGAAACCGGAGCUAAUACCGGAUAAUAUUUUGAACCGCAUGGUUCAAAAGUGAAAGACGGUCUUGCUGUCACUUAUAGAUGGAUCCGCGCUGCAUUAGCUAGUUGGUAAGGUAACGGCUUACCAAGGCAACGAUGCAUAGCCGACCUGAGAGCGUGAUCGGCCACACUGGAACUGAGACACGGUCCAGACUCCUACGGGAGGCAGCAGUAGGGAAUCUUCCGCAAUGGGCGAAAGACUGACGGAGCAACGCCGCGUGAGUGAUGAAGGUCUUCGGAUCGUAAGACUCUGUUAUUAGUGAAGAACAUAUGUGUAAGUAACUGUGCACAGCUUGACGGUACCUAAUCAGAAAGCCACGGCUAACUACGUG